rnacentral:tRNA from 1 species
UCCCUGGUGGCUCAGAGAGUAAAGUGUCUGCCUGUAAUGCAGGAGACGCAGGUUCAAUCCCUGCGUUGGGAA